rnacentral:rRNA from 1 species
AGAGUUUGAUCAUGGCUCAGAUUGAACGCUGGCGGAAUGCUUUACACAUGCAAGUCGAACGGCAGCACGGACUUCGGUCUGGUGGCGAGUGGCGAACGGGUGAGUAACAUAUCGGAACGUAUCCAAUAAUGGGGGAUAACUAAUCGAAAGGUUGGCUAAUACCGCAUACGCCCUACGGGGGAAAGCUAGGGACCUUCGGGCCUGGCGUUAAUGGAGCGGCCGAUAUCUGAUUAGCUAGUUGGUGGGGUAAAGGCCCACCAAGGCGACGAUCAGUAGCUGGUCUGAGAGGACGACCAGCCACACUGGAACUGAGACACGGUCCAGACUCCUACGGGAGGCAGCAGUGGGGAAUUUUGGACAAUGGGCGCAAGCCUGAUCCAGCCAUUCCGCGUGAGUGAAGAAGGCCUUCGGGUUGUAAAGCUCUUUCGCAAGGGAAGAAAACUUAGGCUCUAACAUAGCCUGAGGUUGACGGUACCUUGAUAAGAAGCACCGGCUAACUACGUGCCAGCAGCCGCGGUAAUACGUAGGGUGCGAGCGUUAAUCGGAAUUACUGGGCGUAAAGCGUGCGCAGGCGGUUUUGUAAGUCAGAUGCGAAAUCCCCGAGCUCAACUUGGGAACUGCGUUUGAAACUACAAGACUAGAAUAUGUCAGAGGGGGGUAGAAUUCCGCGUGUAGCAGUGAAAUGCGUAGAUAUGCGGAG